GACGUAGGGCGCGAGCGUUGUCCGGAUUUAUUGGGCGUAAAGAGCUCGUAGGCGGCUCGUUGCGUCGGCUGUGAAAACCCGCAGCUCAACUGUGGGCUUGCAGCUGAUACGGGCGGGCUGGAGUUCGGUAGGGGAGACUGGAAUUCCUGGUGUAGCGGUGAAAUGCGCAGAUAUCAGGAAGAACACCCGUGGCGAAGGCGGCUCUCUGGGACGGUACUGACGCUGAGACGCGAAAGCGUGGGGAGCGAACAGG
rnacentral:rRNA from 1 species